rnacentral:lncRNA from 1 species
CUCCUUUUCAUUUGUUUUCAAGGUUUGCUCUUACCCUUGCGUCUUUCUUACAAACAAUAAAUGUUACAAAUAAUCUUUUCGCCCCAUUUUCCCCUAGAACUCACUGCUAUGCUUAAGUUUGUGGCUGUUCUCAAACUACUGUUUUCAGUAAAUGCUUAUGUGUAUGCAUAAAGUUGUGAUUUUGUUUUUAAUACAUACAUAUUUACUCUUAACAACUGUUUUAUUUUAGGUUUGGGGGAUUGAACCUAGGGCGUUAGCACUCAGCUACAUCCCUAGCCCUUUUUACUUUUUUGUUUGGAGGCAAGGUCUCACUAAAUUGAGCUCCUGAUCCUCUUGCCUCAGCCUCCCUCGGUGCUGGGACUACAGACCCAUUCCACUGUCAAGAUCUCCCAUGCAGUAUGGACUACAGGGACUGAACUCAGGACCUUGUGCUUGUGAGGCAGGCAGUGGCACCACUGACCUAAAUCUCUGGCCUUUGGCUUCUCUCAAAUUUAAUGGAACUAUCCAGAGAAGUUAAACAACUUGGACAAGGUCACACCCACGUCAGAUGAUGGAGCCCAGAUUAGACUGGAGAGCUGAUUCUCAAGUGUAUGCUCAUGAUACGGUGAAUAAAUAUUUGGUGGAAUCUCUGGUGUGAAAAGAGUGCAUUUUGUAAGUCAAUCAGGUUGAUUGGUGCCUGGGGUCCCCUAGAGAGCUUCAGGAUGGG